AAAGGGGAAGAGUUGGGCUCAGGGUCACGUGGUGUCACCACAGGUACUGAGCUGCGCUUAAGGCCCGCCAGGUGUACCCGCCCAGUGGCGUCUCUCCCACUUAGGACCCUUCACCCCACCAGACACUGGAGGUGGGAGACAGGAAGGUCAUCCUGAGCCCAGCCUCUGGCGCGUCCGGGCGCGGCGAUCGCAGGGGACAGACAGAGCAGCCACACGGCUUGGGCUACGCCGCGCGCCCGCGCCGCGCCGAGCCGACUCGGAGGCGCCGCGGGCUUGCGGUUGUAGCCUGGGGAGAGGCCGACCCGUGGAAGUUGCAUCCUGGAUAGCCCGGGCUGCGCUACUGAAGAGCUCCGAGCUAGAGCUCGGCCGAGCCUCCCGCCCGGAUCCCGGGCAAAGACCGCCCAAAACCUGGUGCUGACCUUCGUCUGCACCGCUCUAUGGUGACCCGAAUCUCCGCUGCCCGAGUUGCAGCGGCUGUGCACCCCAAGGACUGCCAGAGCGCCCGGGAAUCUGCAAGCCUGGGGCCUGGAUUCUCUUCAGAGACUCAUACUGAGCGGUAGAACCUGUGAAGGGUAAAGGAUUGGACUCAUUGACUUGAUUCGCUCUUCGUCCACUUGUGUUAUAUACUGAGAGAGUCCCAAGAAGCAACUGUUCACUCUGAGAAAAGAAGCCACCAUGAUUGACCAAAACAAGAAGUAAUCCACGUGAUCACAAGAUGAGUCAGGAUGGAUCCUGAAGCUGUGGAACUGGAGAAGCGACAUGUGCACAGUGUGUACGAGAACACUGCCCCCUACUUCACUGACCUGCAGAGCAAAGCCUGGCCGCGUGUCCGCCAGUUCCUGCAGGACCAGAAGCCAGGCAGCCUCGUCGCUGACAUUGGUUGUGGAACUGGAAAGUAUCUUAAAGUGAAUAGCCAAGUCCAUACUCUGGGCUGUGACUACUGUGGGCCUCUGGUAGAGAUUGCCCGGAAUAGAGGGUGUGAAGUCAUGUCAUACAUCAUUUUUCU
rnacentral:lncRNA from 1 species